UACGAAGGGGGCUAGCGUUGCUCGGAAUCACUGGGCGUAAAGCGCACGUAGGCGGAUUGCUAAGUCGGGGGUGAAAUCCUGGAGCUCAACUCCAGAACUGCCUUCGAUACUGGCGAUCUUGAGUCCGGGAGAGGUGAGUGGAACUCCGAGUGUAGAGGUGAAAUUCGUAGAUAUUCGGAAGAACACCAGUGGCGAAGGCGGCUCACUGGCCCCGGUACUGACGCUGAGGUGGCGAAA
rnacentral:rRNA from 1 species